GAAAAGAGUCAAGAGACACAGAAACUGCUAAUUAUCUGCCCCUGCGGUUAAAAUCCACAGUCUUCUCA
rnacentral:tRNA from 1 species